rnacentral:rRNA from 1 species
UAAAAGGUGCCUGUACCGCAAACCGACACAGGUAGGCGAGGAGAGAAUCCUAAGGUGUGCGAGAGAACUCUGGUUAAGGAACUCGGCAAAAUGACCCCGUAACUUCGGGAGAAGGGGUGCUUUCUUAACGGAAAGCCGCAGUGAAUAGGCCCAAGCGACUGUUUAGCAAAAACACAGCUCUCUGCGAAGCCGUAAGGCGAAGUAUAGGGGGUGACACCUGCCCGGUGCUGGAAGGUUAAGGAGAGGGGUUAGCGUAAGCGAAGCUCUGAACUGAAGCCCCAGUAAACGGCGGCCGUAACUAUAACGGUCCUAAGGUAGCGAAAUUCCUUGUCGGGUAAGUUCCGACCCGCACGAAAGGUGUAACGAUUUGGGCACUGUCUCAACCAGAGACUCGGUGAAAUUAUAGUACCUGUGAAGAUGCAGGUUACCCGCGACAGGACGGAAAGACCCCGUGGAGCUUUACUGUAGCCUGAUAUUGAAUUUUGGUACAGUUUGUACAGGAUAGGCGGGAGCC